AUGGCGGGAACAGGUACAAAAUAUAAAUCCAUGGCUCACCUUCCCGCCGCCUGGCCUUGGCGGCUCUUCUCCCCUUCCCAGUUCCCUCCCUCCCACCUCAUGGCGGUGGAGCCGCCACCCAACAACCACCACGGCGACCCAUCUACUUCUGGCGCCCUGGGCUACUUCCAUCUCCGCCUCGGCCCCGCCGAGUCGCUCUUCCUCCUCCGCUCCGACCGCCUCUAUUCUCUCUCCUUUUCCCGCCGCCGGGGCUACCGCCUCCGCCUCAUCGCGUCCCCUGCGCGUCGCCGCAGGCGCUGCCGCCGCCGCGAUCUUCUGCUCAGCACUUCUGGCUGCGUCCUCCGCCUCACCCACUGCUUCUCCAGUCCCGACGCCGUGCGCGUCAAUGGGCUGCCCCUCCACGGCGGCGGCGGCCCGGUCGAUCUGGCCGUGGGCGACGAGGUCUCGCUGCUCCUCCUCGGCUCCAGGUACGGAUUUGUGGCGGAGAAAUUUGUCGCUUGCGAAAGGGGUGACAAGGUACCGGGGUCCUGCGAGGAGGUUCUUGUGCUGAGGGCAGAGUCGCUCCGGAAGCGGCUAAGAGCGAUCUCGGAGAGCCAGGACCCUCUUUCUUUCUUGAGGGAUUCACACUGUGCACAUGCUGGAGUGAAAAAAGCGAGAGAAGGGGGUGGUUUAUUGUGCCAGGAAAAUCCAGUUAACUCUGUUCCUCAGGAUAAUUUGCGGCAACAAGAAUGCAAUUUUGAUCAAGACAGAUUGGGACACAAACCUGAUGUUACAAACGAAGAGACUGUUCAGUUGCCUCAAAGAAGCAAACGAAGCAGCAACGUAGAGCUCAAAGGAUGCAGUAAUGGGAAUGUAGAGCAGCAUCACACGGAGGGCUGCUACUCAGAUGGGAGCACAUUCUUCCUGAACCGCCUCACCGGCAUAAGACCUGAAAUGCGAGCGGAGCAACACAGUGGAGUGACCCUUCCACAGCUUCUCCACCCUAUUGGCAGCUUAUUGCGAGUGUUUAUCGCAACGUUCACCUCUGACAUUUCCUGGUUCCUGGACUACUGUAAGAUUCCCCAGUACCUGCCAGUAACAAUAGCAUGCCACAACAAGGACAGAUGCUGGAGUGCGAACAGUGAAAAUAGAACUGCAGCCCCUUUCGAAAACCAUCCUAAUUUACUUCUAGUAUACCCCCGAUUUCCAGAAGUGAUAGCAUUUGGAAAGGACAGGAAGAAUCAAGGAGUUGCAUGCCACCAUCCAAAGCUCAUAGUGUUACAGAGAGAGGACAGCAUGCGCGUUAUUAUUUCUUCAGCUAACUUGGUACCUAGACAGUGGCAUCUCAUAACAAACACAGUGUGGUGGCAAGACUUUCCCCGUAGGACAUCCCCUGAUUAUUCAGGUCUUUUUAGUGCAUUCGAGGGACCAAAAUCUGAUUUUGCUGCUCAGUUAGUUUCAUUCAUAGGAUCCCUUAUCCAUGAAGUCCCUAGCCAAGCAUAUUGGAUAAAUGAGAUAGCAAAGUAUGAUUUUGAAGGAGCUGGUGGGUACCUUGUUGCUUCAGUACCAGGGUUGUAUACGCCAAGUCCUUGUUAUUUGGAGUCCAAUUAUUGCCUUUCAGAAAAACAGAUUAUACAUACAAAAUCUUCACAUAGAAUAUUCCUUGGUUCUGUGCAAACAUCUGUAGUUGGUUUAUCCCAUCGGUUUCACUUACCAUCUGAUGCCGGUUCACAACUGAAAGCCUUGUCUGUAUUUCUUGGAAAAUGCCGUGAAAACAUGCAUGGAACUACAGAAGUGAUCUUGAAAAGAAAUACAAAUAUACCUGCAGAUGCUAAUGCUGUGAGUGUCCUUGUUGCUGAUCUGGAUAAAUUUUGUGAGGAAGAUUCUGUCCAACUUGGUUUCUUGCCUAGAGAGGUUGCGAAAUGGGUAUCUCCCCUUAGUGACACAGGCUUCUUCAAAUUUUCUGGAUUUAUCUACCCUAGAGAAGCCCUGGAAGUUGCAUUUGGAGCAACUAACACAAAAGUGCAGUUGCUUAUGUAUGUAUCAAAGGGUCCAGAGUUUUCUCAAAUUUCAGGGCUGAUCCAGGAUGAGCAUCUUCCUUCAUUGUGCUCACUAGUAGCGUGCCUGAAAAGAAGCCCUGGGCUUUGGCGGUUAGAAGAGGUAUUAUCACACUUUAAGUGGCCUGAAACACUGGAGACUGAUUUUAUGUACAGUGCUUCAUCCAUCGGGACUUCUAUUAAUCCACAGUUCAUUGCACACUUCGCUUCAGCGACAGGUAAACGAUCCAAUCACGAUGUUGACUCCGAAGAAUCUGAUCCAGAGUGGGGUGGCUGGACAGCAGGCCAUGAGCUAAAGAAGCCAUCAAUCAGUUUGUUAUUUCCAACAAUUGAGAGGGUGAAAAGCGCGGCUUGUGGAAUUCAGUUGUCCAGAUAUUUGCUUUCUCUACCUGAGAAAACGUGGCAAAGAUUGAGAUCUACCGGCAUAUUUCAUGAUGCAAUCCCACAUCCACAUGAUAGGAUAGGGCAUCCUAUGCAUGUUAAGGUUGCUCAGAGGCGAUUCCGGUCUCGGUUAGGUGGCCAUUCAUUUGGCUGGACUUAUUGUGGAUCUCACAAUUUCAGCCCAGCUGCCUGGGGACAACCGUUGCGCCCUCCGUCCAAAGCGAAUCCUACUGAUGCCACCAGAGGAGCUCCUUCUGGGUCAAGGCUGCACAUUUGCAACUAUGAGCUGGGCAUCAUUCUCAUUGCCCCGCCGCCAGGCAUGUCAAAGGAGGGCAAUGGAAGGAGGCAUGGGAUUGAUGGCAUAUCCCUUCCAUUUGUCAUCCCUGCACCACACUACAAGUACAGUGAUAGGCCUGCGACACCGCUGGCUAUGCGACAAGCCAUGGCCGAAGCUUGUAUUCCGCAGAGCGACUUGUCGGAAGAGACUGACGAGGAUAUACCAGAUGAAGAUGACGAGCAUGUGGUUGAACUAUCUGACUGUUGUCCUGAAGAGAAAGAAGAGAAGAUCUACGCAGAGACUCUAUGGGGGCAGGUGGAUUCUUCGCAGAGCCAGGGAAAAGAUUCCUGA
rnacentral:rRNA from 1 species